ACAAGGGCCAGCACGCAGAGCCUGCGGCCCUAUCAGUCUGCUCAAGGUUACAGCUCCUGUGCUCGACCCAGCAGCUCCGCACAAAACAGCGGGAGUGUUUCAGCUGGCAGAAAUGCUGCUCUUUUUCACUCAAGUUUGCAGCUGGCCAAAAUGGAAAAAAUAGGUACCCCUAAGCCGAUGGCUAAUGGCAUAUGGGUGUGCUGCCCAGGACAGCCAUACAGAACUGGCAGCAUGAGGGAGAAUGACUCUUUAAACCACUUGGCUGAAAAGCAGCCCUACAUCAGCAGUUCUUACAGUAGCUCUGCACUGUGCUGUUAUUGUGGAUUGUUGUCUUUAUCUUGCUGAUUGUCCUGUUUCCUGCAGCGCUUGCCUGGCUCAGCCGCUAAGUCUGGGUGCUGAGCCCUGGUGCCGUGUGCUGAUCUUGCCAGGAGGAGAGGGCUGGGCACAGAGAGAUUUCUUUCCUGCUCAGCUCUUCCAGACUCAGGCAGGACCUGGAAACUGCCACAGGUAUGGCAAAGGCCUCAUGAAGCAAGGAAUGCUUUCCCUGGGCUUGAAUAAGGCGUUCAUUUUACCACGGUUUGUGGAAGAUGCCAGUCUAGAGCUGCAAUCAUGCGAUUCAUUUCAAAGAAUACCACAAAGGCCACUAUCUGGGAGAACAACAAAGAGAACACCGAUGAGCACAUACAGGAAAGGUCUGCAUAGCUGUUUUUGAACAGGAAGGAAGAAAAGCUUGUUGGUAGCACAAGGACAAAGGUGGCAACACACUAGAAAGGGUGUGCAACAAGAAUUUAAAAAUGGGUUCAACAACAGAUAUUCAGACAUGAAGAAGAAAUUCAGCAGUAAGCGCAGGAGAAUGCUGUGUGCUGAGAACACUGUUCUCAAGUCAAAUUAAUCUCAGAAAGUUCCAGUGACAUUUUGGGAAACUAAGGCCGUGAAUUCACACCAAAAUCAAAGCCAUGCAGUGCCUGUGCCCUGUGGCUGUGUAAACGCACCCAGGCUGGAAGACAAUGAGCCCUUCUGCCACGUGUGGGAUGGCAGCAAUACCAGUCAGUCCCAUCACAGCUCCUGCAAGGCCAGCGCUUGGAGAUGACUCCCUAGCCACAGGGAUCUGAGCAGGAAAAUAAAUACUUCAGUCUUUACAUCGCCUGUUCCCCGUGGUCCUGGACGCAGCACAAGAGCCCUCGUGAUUCAUUCCACAGUCUCUGGGCAACCCAGGGGAAAACCGCCUGCUAAUCUCAGUUCCUGCUGUCAGAAAGCAUAAUUGCUAUGACAAAGCAAAACGUUGUUUUGCAUUAAGGCACGAUCAGACCUACCUUCUCCCGCUACCUUUUUCCGUUUGGUGAUAAAUUAAAGUGGAGGUGUUUGCAGCUGGGGGAGGUAUAUGUUUAGUUGUUUUCUGGUGGCUACAGUGUUGGCAGUGAAUCCACUACCAUGCAGUACGUAAAAACAUGGUCAGUGCUUUCUCCAAUUAACUUAUGUUCUGCAGGUAAAUGCGGAGAAGAUUUGGUGAGGCGGUAACCCGCUUCCCUGUCACAGCACAUAUGUGCAGUACUCCUCUCUCAGAUGUACGUUUUUGAAGCAGAAGAUGAAGCAGGUUUUAAAUGAGCAUGCUAGCUGGCACAGCAGCUGUGGAUUGAAAUCACAUGAAUACCUGGGAUGUGUAAGGUGCAUCGUGUUGGAGAAGGGUGAUGCUGAAUUGACAGUGGAUAUCUACUUGGAGAAGCUUUAGGGACUUCAAGUAGUUUGGUUUCAUUGUAUUUGAAAAAGUAUUGGGAAGAAGAUUUCAGAGCUGUAAUUAUACCUGUUGUUGCUACGUUUUCCCUUGGGUAGAGUCUCUAGAAUGGAGCAAUUGAUUUUGUUUGAUCUAUAAUAUGUACAAGCAGCUAGCAGGAGGUGCUGCAGUGAAAGCAAAAAGAUUAAUCUAGCCAUUUCAGGCAAAAUCAACUUCUCUUAGUGCUGUGCUGGCAAGCCUGCCUUUUGCAGGCUCCUGAGCGCACACACAGCAGCCUUGUUUCAAUUGUUGAGGUGGGAAAAGAGCCCCAAGACCCUCUAGGUCCCUGAUGAAGGAUCCCUGCUUUUAAAUAUGCUUUCUCUCCUCUUCAUCUACAGAAUGUCUGAAGGUGUCUUUGCCCCAUGGAAACAUAGAAAGACAGAGAGAAGAUGCAGCAUUGCAGGUACCUGGUGGCUGCUGACUUGGGAAGUGAGAAGAGCAUGAAGAUGCCACACUAACAGGAUUAUGGUUGACUCUGACGUGGACUCUGUCAUGGGCUGACCAAGCAAUGCGCAACAUUAUUCUUUCUUCUGCCAAGUCAAAGCCCUGCUCACGCAAGCAACAGGGCUGAAGGGCAGGUGAUGGUGUUUACCUGCAGCAGAGCUUCCUGCUUUUCUGCCAUGCCUCCUUUCAACUGAGAUGACUCUGUGCGCCUUGCGGAUUUAUAGUCCUUUAUUGAUAAGCACUAGAAUGAGGGAAACUAGCCAUCUGGUGGUGCGUCCACUGGAUGAAAAGUGAAAACACACACAGAUUUUCUGCACAAUCUGGAGCAGCAAGCGUAAAUUGUUCCAUUUUCUUGCCUUCACUUGAAAAACUUUUCUGGACUGCAGUAUGACAACACAUGCUGGUUACCAUGCAUGCACUCACAGCUGCUCCUCUUUUUUCAAAAUAUGAAGGCUGUAGUACUUGUUAAGAAUGAGGCCUCAUACCCCAGAUCUUCAUUCCAUUUCAGGUAGCUGUAUUGCACACUGAGUGAAUGACUUCUUACCAUCUCAAAUGAAACAGAAGAAUUGGUGAGCACAUUGUGGCAUUCUGGAAGUAUUUAGAAGGGGAAGAAAAUGCAUUUUAUCUACAACAAUCAUUCUCACGUUGCAGAACAGAGACGACUCCUCUUUUCAGCACAAACAGCAGGUAAGGAGAGUGUCUUUUUCCAACCAGGAAGUUCUGAAGCAAGGAACAAGUCACAUGCCGAGCACAACACACGCCUUGCAAGGCCUUUAAAAGUGGCUGUGGGCUUUUAACAGAGCUGUAUCCUUGUUCGCUGACUGUGUGCCGGGUGUUUGAAGACAAGCACAGCAGUGGAGUGUCUUCAGAAAGAGUGGUAAUGUGGGUCUGGAUAAUUAUAUACAAAGGGGUUAUAAAGUAGCAAAAAAAAAUAAAUUUACAGAUCUACCUACUAUGAUAGGAACAAAGUUUUGCAGCACUUUUUAUAGUGGAAAAAUAUGUUUCUCUGGUUUGCUUUGAUAUCCUUGGGACUGCCAGUAAAGCUGUAGCUGAAGAGACGACUAACUUAUGCCAGCCUUUCGGAAGCUCUGACGCUGCCCGGGUGGCAGGGCACACUGUGCUGCAGAGGCCUGAUGCUCCUGGGCUGGCUCUCCAUGCAGCAGCCUCUCCGCAGCUAGCUGCAGGCACGGGCAAAGCAAGCCCUUGCCAAUGUCGUUGGACUGCAGGGCAAUAAAACAGCUGCCAGUGCAUUGCCUAAUUUUGCCUGGAAAGUCAGACUCACCACAGCCACUGUGGGAGGGCCCGGGGCACGGCGGUGGCACGAUCGGCUGGGCGGGUGGCAGGUGGCACACCGGGGCUGGUGAGCAUGAUGAGUGUCUGCAGCCCCACUGGCUUCCUGCCUGCCUGGCCUGGAUCACACGCUGAACUGUUUAGCACCUACAAACCCUUUUUCCUGGGAAAUGGUGGCCUGCAUCCAAUUCAAGUGACUCAUAUGCCUCCUCUGCCUUGUUUAAGCAGGAGUCUUCCCGUUCAAGCUUUGUAUGUUCCAUGAAGGCAAAUUACUGUGCUUCUGGAGAGGGGAAAUCCAGUUCCCUGCUCUAUCUUCUGUGCUACCGCCUGCAUCUCUUCACAAAUAACUACCUCAUCCACUGCUUUAAAGUCGUAAUAUUCUCCUUCCUCUUAAAUCUGUCUUGGGAGAAAAAUCGGCCAGCCUGCGCAAAGCCAGGACUGAAAUAUUGCCCGGUGUGGAGUUUCCUCAUUGCUUUCCGAGGAGCCACUGGCACUCCCCACUUUUGGCACCUUCUCUUCCUUACGCUCACCUUCUGCUGGUGCCCCCCCAGCACGUGCCCGCCUCGGACCGAGUGUGGACAGCCACUGGGCCGCGCGGUGGGGGCAUAGCAGAGUUGUGCUGCAUCGCCGUUCUGAAAGCAGCUCCCACAUCCGAAUUCAGACCUCUGAGCCACAGAUCAAAACAGCAAUAGGCGUGUUUUUCAGUUGUGCAGGGCCAACACCAGGCCUGUGCAAGUGGAAAGAUGCCAUUUUUCCUCCAUUGUCUGUGUCUUUCUGGCCUCUGUUGUGAUAUGGAGCAACUUGCAGCUGGCUAACUUGUUCUUCUGCUGAAACAACCCUAUAGACCGCAGCAGGAACACAGACCAGCUGGGGCAUCGAUUCCCCCAACCAGGCUAUUAUCCCCUCCUCUUUCCUGGACCCCACAUAAGCAGGUACCAGAAGGGCAGGGCCACAACCAGCAAUGCAGAGAGCUGCCCAGGAGCACCCUGACCUGGGCCCAGAUGAGACCAAGCCUGAAACAGGGGGAGAAGACUCUCCACUUGAAAAGGAGCAACAUGGAGAGUUUUAAAUUAUCAAAGAAUUGAGUUACCUUUACAUAUGUAUCACAACAAGGGGAAAAAAAAAAACACCACAAUCCAACCAACCCAGCAUAUGUUCUGUAGGAGGUAAGACUUUCACACUUGUGUUUGCCCCUGUCAGAAAUGGCCUCUAAUUGGAUCUGGAUCUGCCCAGCCUCCGGGUGUCUUCUGCCUCCUGUCCCCGGAGUUAUGAGUUUGUUUUGCUGCUGCAUGUCCGCUCGGCGAGGUGUCUGUGAUUGCCAAGUGAAUGUGGAUUCAGCUGGCUCUGACCAACUCUGGCAUUUGAAAAAAUCCUUUUUCUUCUGCUUGAAUUUCCCUGCCAGCUGCCUGCGAGUCAGGACUUCCCAGCCAGCAGCUCUUGCUAUUAUCUGUUUUCACUUGCCUUGAUGUUUACCAGAUUGUAGUGCUUUUAUCUCUAUUAAUCCUACCUCGGCGUGGAGCCCUGCUACUGCAGACCCUAUGUGGCCUGGGCACUGGGUCAGAGCAAAAAUAAAUAGAUAGAUAGAUAGAUAACAAGUUCGCCCUACUGAGGAAACAGCAAGGUCUAAAACGCUGGCCAAAAAUAAUGCAAGUGUUGAUGAUCUCAGAGAAGAAAAUAACUAAAAGCCCAGAUGAAGGUAUUGAAAAUCAAAGCUUAAAAUAAAUGACAACUUAUUAGACUAAAUCUGAACUCUGCUAAAAUUCUCUGCCAGAUGAAAACACUGGUAUGAAAAUAGUGCUGAGCAGCUGAGAGCAGGACAAGCUGCCCUGAUUUUCUGGUCUCGGAAACUAAGUGCUUCCUAAGAAGUGCUUUCAUUUGUGAUCUUCGAUACAUCUUGCCGUCAGAGGAGAAGGUCUGAUUAAAAAUGCAACUAAAAACGUGAAGGAGAGAUUCUCAGUCUUUAAAGGGACAGAAAGCUAUUCCGAAUAAGCACCUAAUGAUCAUUUCCCUUCCCCUCCAGUUCCUAGAAGUCAUGGGGGAUGAAGGAAAAUUUGGCAUAAGCCUUUUUUGUUUGUUUGUUUUUGUUUUGAAUUCUAUUUUCGAUCGAGUGCAACAAUUUCAAAAGGAAUAGGUCACAUCCAGUUCUAGUUAAAGUAUUUAUCUACAGACGGUUCUGGUCAGUUGUCAGCACCCAGUGAAGAGUUCAGGAUGGGGGUGCCCUCGCAGUGUAAGAAGGGCUCUAAGAGGUUUUGGGGCGAGCCUGGUUUGGGGCCAGCUCCCCCCUCAGGCGCUAGCGCUCCGUGUGUGGCGGUGCCGUGCGCGGCGCACCCCCGCCACCCAAACGGCGGCCGGUUGGAUCCCAGAGAAGCACAUAUUUAAUUUUAUUUUCACAGAGCGUCUCAGGAAUGAAAACACGGGCUCUGCAGCCGCCACAGGAGGAUGAGGAGGACCUCAGCGCCCGCUCGGCCGGGCCCGGCUCCCCGCCGGCACCU